rnacentral:rRNA from 1 species
UACGUAGGUGGCAAGCGUUGUCCGGAUUUACUGGGCGUAAAGGGCGUGCAGGCGGUCUGUUAAGUCUAGGGUGAAAGCUCCCGGCUCAACUGGGAGAGGUCCUUGGAUACUGGCGGACUUGAGGGAGGCAGAGGAAAGUGGAAUUCCCGGUGUAGUGGUGAUAUGCGUAGAGAUCGGGAGGAACAUCUGUGGCGAAGGCGACUACCUGGACCAGCACUGACACUGAGGCACGAAAGCGUGGGGAGCAAACAGG